UUAGGAUCUUCCUCAAACUGCUCAAAGUGAUUUCCGGGCUCAGUUAACCAUUAAACACCGAAUUCAACACCAAAACCGAGAUGACCGACCGCCGGCGCCAUUGUCUUCCUAUGGUUGCUAUUGCUCUUUUGCUUGUUGAUUCUACCACACACUUAGGAUGGAUACCACACAGGUAAGAGUCACAAAGCCUCAAGCAAUUGGUAGGGAAGAUUAAUUGACAGGAUGCAUGAAGGAGAAGAAGAAGAAGAAGAAUGCCUCUGUCUCUCGGGUUCUCUCACGCACGGCUUGGAGGAGAAGGAGAGAAUUACCAAUAUAUAUAUUAGUCCAAUGACCACUUAAGGUAAGUUACAAUAUGGUAAGUAGGCUCGACUAGGGUUAAGUCCCAAUAGCACACCAACAAGCCACAAAGGUUAUUAGCCAUCCAAUAGGUAACGCAGCGCUAGGUCGAUUCAUCCAUUAUUCGGUGUUGAUUUAUCGUUCAGUCAUUCAUNNNNNNNNNNNNNNNNNNNNNNNNNNNNNNNNNNNNNNNNNNNNNNNNNNNNNNNNNNNNNNNNNNNNNNNNNNNNNNNNNNNNNNNNNNNNNNNNNNNNNNNNNNNNNNNNNNNNNNNNNNNNNNNNNNNNNNNNNNNNNNNNNNNNNNNNNNNNNNNNNNNNNGAAGGAUUAUAUUGUGUGUGAAUUUUUUCAAGUCUUACUACUUCUUGUGAUAUUAUAUCCCUAAUGAAGUGUAACCUAAUAUCGAUAUGUUUAGUGCGUUCGUGAAAGACAGGAUUCUUACACAAAUGUAUGGAUGAUUGACUAUCAGAAUACACAACCACAUACUCAUUCAAGACACUCAGUUCAUGAAGUAGACCUCUAAGCCAUAGAGCCUCUUUAAUUGCUUCAGUGGUGGCAAUAUAUUCUGACUCUGUAGUGGAUAGUGCAACUAUGUGUUGUAACUGUGAUUUCCAACUAACACACAAAUUUGAUAAGGUGAAUACGUAAGAGGAAGUUGAUUUCCUACCAUCCCUAUCUCCUGUAUAGUCAGCAUCUACAAAACUCUUUAAUUUCACGCCUUCCUUAUUAGCACUAAAUUUUAGACCUACGUCACUUGUACCCUUCAAAUAUCUUAAAAGCCACUUUAAUGCUUCCCAAUGUUCAGGACCUGGAUUAGACAUGUACUUACUGAGAGUACUAACAGCGAAUCCUAAGUCCGGUCUAGUGCAAACCAUCAAAUACAUUAUGGAUCCAAUCACAUUUGAGUAUGGAAUUUUACUCAUGUAUUCCACUUCACGUUCAUUGCAGGGAGCUUGUUCUUUAGAUAGAACAAAAUGGUUUGCAAGAGGCAACGUGACAGAUUUCCAGUCACUCAUAUUAAACUUUUUCAACACCUUUGAUAUGUAUGGAGACUGAUGCAAGAAUACGAUGAAAUUUGACGUAUUUCGUUCUAUUUCCAUGCCUAGAAUCCUUUUAGCUUUUCCUAGGUCUUUCAUGUCAAAUUCUCCACUAAGAUCUGCUUUUAUAUUGUUUAUCCACUUAGGAGAUGAUCCAACUAAAAGCAUGUCGUCCACAUAGAGCAACAAGAACAAAUAAUUGUUAUCAGUCUCGUUGUGUUGAAAGUAUAGGCAGUGAUCGAAUUUACUUCUUUGAAAUUCUAUAGUGAGUACAAAGGAAUCAAACCUCUUGUACCACUGUCUAGGUGAUUGCUUUCGACCGUAUAGGGAUCUUUUCAGAAAAUACACAUAAUCAGGUUUUAACUUGUCUUUAAAACCUUUUGGUUGAUUCAUAAAUAUUUGUUCAUCAAGCUCUCUAUGUAAAAAAGCGGUUUUUACGUCGACUUGUUCAAGUUCCCAGUCAAAGAGCGCAACCAAUGCGAGCAUGACCCUAAUAGUAGUGUACUUGACAACUAGUGAGAAAAUCUCAUUAUAAUCAACACCUUCUUUCUGUGUGUAACCCUUCGCUACUAACCUAGCCUUAAAUCUUAAGGGUUCUGUACUACCAGUACCUUCCUUAACCUUAAAGACCCACUUGCAAUCAACGAUUGAUUUAUUCUUAGGUCUCGGUACUAACUCCCAAGUUUGAUUCUUUUCUAGAGAACUCAUCUCUUCUUUCAUAGCCUUAAGCCACUCCUUAGAUUGACCACUAUUCAUAACCUCUUCAAAAGUUUUCGGCUCCCUAUCAACUAGUUCUUCGUAACUAGUGUAUACAAAAUCCAAUUCAGAUUCAUACCCGAACCUCCUAUGUUCUCUCGUUUGUCUUCUCUCUCUAUCUCUAACUAAAUUAUAGUUAGCUAAUGGAUUUUCUUCCUCAGGAUGCUCUUCUAUCACUACUUCAUUUUCCUCUUCAGGUUCUUGGACCUGGAUCUCCACCUCACUCGAAGUACUAGGUACUGUUGUGUUAAAUUUUUCUAACUCCACCUUAAACUGAUUUCUUUCUUCACUUGAUUCAGUUUCACUUACAGGUUCGGUUUCGUUCUUUAGAUAAGGCAUCUCACUCUCAUUAAAUGUGACAUCCCUACUCACGAUGAUCUUAAUUCCUUUUUGGCUUCUAUCCCAUAGCCUAUAGCCCUUAACCCCUUCGGGAUAUCCUAGAAAGACACACUUCUUGGCUCUAGGUUCUAACUUUCCCUCACUUUGAUGAGAGAAGGCAGCACAGCCAAACGCUUUAAGCAUUGAGUAGUCACCCAAUUUUUCAGACCAUUUCUCAUGUGGAGUAUCACCAUUUAAUGCAGUCGAUGGAGUCAAAUUUAUCAGAUAACAGGCAGUUACAACGGCUUCACCCCAAAAUGACUUAGGAACCCCAGAACUUAACAUCAUGCAGCGCACUUUGUCUAGUAUGGUCCUAUUCAUUCUUUCUGCUACCCCGUUUUGCUGGGGAGUAUAAGGAACCAUUUUGUGCCGUGUUAUUCCACUUUCUUUACACAUCCUAUCGAAUUCAGUAUUACAGAAUUCUAGGCCGUUAUCUAUCCUUAAAAAUUUGAUCUUCUUGUUAGUUUGAUUUUCCAUUUGUUUCUUCCAGUUGUUAAAGUUAUGGAAGGUUUCAGUUUUGUCUUUCAAUAGAUAGACCCACACUUUCCUGGUGUAGUCAUCUAUGAUAGAUAGGAAAUACAUAUUCCCACCCGAUGUGGGAUUACUAGCAGGACCCCAUAGAUCAGAAUGCACAUAUUCAAGCAUGCUUUUAGCCUUAUGCGUACUAGUGGAGAACGACACUCUAUGGUGCUUUCCGAGCACACAGUGAUCACAGAAUGAUAGGUCAGACACACAGUCAUUACCAAAUGCACCUUUUUCAUUAAGUAGCUUAAGUCCUUUAAUGCUUACGUGUGCAAGCCUACUAUGCCACGUAUGUGUGCGAUCGAUUUUGGCGGAAGAAAUAGAGGAGUUUAAUCCUCUAAUUACUUCUCCAGUAGUGAUGUAAAUGUCGUUUUUCUUGAUUCCCUUAAUAGAGAUUAAUGCACCCUUCAUCAUUUUAAACAUACCGUUUUCAAUUUUACCGGUGAAGUUGUCUUUCUCAAGUCUUCCUACUGAAAUUAAAUUCCUAGAUAAUUCAGGAAUAUAUUUAACUUCCUUUAACAUGUACACAAAGCCUGUGUUAAAUUUUAUCUUUAUAUCUUCAAUUCCAGCAAUUGUAUAGGCAAAGUUAUCACACAGAACAACUUGCCCAUCAUUAGAUUCUUGCAAGUUUUCAAACCAAUUCUUUUCAGACGUCACAUGAAAAGACGCACCAGAAUCUAAUAUCCAUUCAUGCAUGUGAGAAUUAGUAGUUAGAUUUAAUUCAGUAGUGUAUGCGACUGGACUCGUGAUCACAUAGACUUCACCGUUUUCGGUAUCGGAGGUAGAGGAUAACACAUUUACCUCAUCUCUUUCCUUAACCUUUUGUUUUCCGUUUUCUUUGUGACAGUCUUUUAUAAAAUGCCCUGUGCCUCUACAGCCAUAGCAUUUUCUAGCCUUAGUUCUAGACUUUGACCUAGGUCUACCAUUGCCCUUCUUUUUCCAACUAUUACUACUUGAUUCGCCAUUACUUUAGUAUCCAUCAUGACUGGCGUCCCUAAAUUGAGUUCUACCCUGCAUCAUAUGCAACUCUCCACUCCUCCUAUCCUAUUUUUCAGCCCUCAUUUCCAUCUCCUUACUCCUAAGAGAAUCUACGACAAUUUCAGGUGUUAACGUGUCCCUACCAUACUUAAUGGCAUUUUUAUCUUCUUUAUAAGAGUCCGGGAUUGAAUUGAGCAAGAUAAUGGCCUUAUAGGUUUCAGAUACGGCUUCGUCACAAUUGACAAUAUCUUGCACCAAUUUGUUAAAUACAUCUAAAUUGUCGUUGAGAUCCUUUGAAGGAUCCAUUUUAAAGCUGAAGAAUCGUUCGAGUAGGUAGAGUUUAUUCGGUGUAGAUUUAAGCAAGUAUAAGUCUUCUAGUCUUUUCCAAAGUUCUUUGGUGGUUUUUAGUUUUCCCACUUUUCUUAAGACAGUGUCAGACAAGUGUAAUAUUAUUGAGGUAUAGGCAAGCUCAUCGGCUUCCUCUUUUUGUUCUUUUGAGAUAUCAGGUGCAAAAUUGCCUUUGAUGGCUUUUGACACCUUUUGUUGGACUAAUAUGCCUCUCAUCUUUUGUUGCUAGAUAGAGAAGUCCCCUUUACCGUUAAAAAUUCCCAAAUCAAAAUUAUGUGUUGUCAUUGGUUAACACACUAAUUAAACCACACGAAGUAGUAUUGGAAAGUGUGAUAAGAUAAUAUCUUGUUAAUUCUUAGCAAAAGUAACAAUUAACUUAAACGCUACGUCCACCAAGAAAUACCAAGCACUUUAAAUCAAAAGAACAAGCACUCAAUUAACGCAAGUAAUCCUAGUUCUAGCACAAGCAAUGGUUACCCCUUCACGGUAACCCCAAAACCUAACGAUCACCCCACACGAUGAUCUUGCUAUUGCUGAAUUUAAAUGGAUUAAGCCAAUUUACCAGAGCGAACCUAUCUGAGUCCGUAGAGUGGAGAAAAACGAGCUUGCUGUUGAAUUUCAGUCGACGUCGCACCAGGAGCAAAAUCGUUCAACUUUUUCUGUGUAACCUGAAACACAAAACAAAGUAUAUCAGCGUGUUCAGGAGAUCGAAAUAAGCAAGUUACCUGAAGACAGCGUCACCGGACAGCCGCCCACACGCUGCCGCCGUCCGCCACGCGCCGCUUCUCCGGGGGCGCCUCGACCUGCUGGUGAUGGGUAUGGCCUCCAUUUGUCCAACCGAGCUUUGGUUUGUGAGUAAUUGAAAAUUUUCAGAUUCGGGUUCUAAGUUUAAUAUCCAAAAAUCAGCCGAUUUUGAGCCAUUUUUUGCUACCCAAGCUCUGAUACCAGAUGUUAGGAUCUUCCUCAAGUUGCUCAAAGUGAUUUCCGGGCUUAGUUAACCAUUAAACAUCGAAUUCAACACCAAAACCGAGAUGACCGACCGCCAGCGCCAUUGUCUUCCUAUGGUUGCUAUUGCUCUUUUGCUUGUUGAUUCUACCACACACUUAGGAUGGAUACCACAUAGGUAAGAGUCACAAAGCCUCAAGCAAUUGGUAGGGAAGAUUAAUUGACAGGAUGCAUGAAGGAGAAGAAGAAGAAGAAUGCCUCUUUCUCUCGGGUUCUCUCACGCACGGC
rnacentral:lncRNA from 1 species